GAACGAGGUCCAUCCUGUGGCAACACAGGUGAAGUACCUAGUGGCGAACGGGUGAGUAUCACGUGAGUAACCUGCCCCGAAGACUGGGAUAACACCGGGAAACCGGUGCUAAUACCGGAUACCCCCACCGGAUCACAUGGUCUGGUGAGGAAAUGUCUUUUCGCUUCGGGAGGGGCUCGCGGCCUAUCAGCUUGUUGGUGGGGUAACGGCCCACCAAGGCUUCGACGGGUAGCUGGUCUGAGAGGACGAUCAGCCACACUGGGACUGAGACACGGCCCAGACUCCUACGGGAGGCAGCAGUGGGGAAUCUUGCGCAAUGGGCGAAAGCCUGACGCAGCAACGCCGCGUGAGGGACGAAGGCCUUCUGGGUUGUAAACCUCUUUCAGCAGGGACGAUUAUGACGGUACCUGCAGAAGAAGCCCCGGCCAACUACGUG
rnacentral:rRNA from 1 species